CAUUAUUAUUAAGACUACAGUUUUCUUGAUGAUAUGUAUGCAUAACACGGCUGGUGGCCUAAUGACUGGAUCUCACUCUUGAAAUGUAUUUCAUUUAUCCGUUGGAAGUAUUCUGAGACUAGUGUGAGGAGAAGACUAAGAACCCUAAUUCUCAAAUCACUUUCAAUUUCAAUUCCUUAUAACUUUCAAUCUGGAGCUCUAAUUGACGAGCCGUUUGCGGCCACGCGUUCGUCUCGGAGUCCUCUUCAAUUCUAUCUGAACAAAGUGGUAUUUUCUGGCUGAAAUUGAGGGAUCUGAGCAAAAAUCUGAUUCAAAGGCUAAAAAGGACUGCAGAUGCUGUUGGAUUCUGACCUCCCUGCACUCGAAGCGGAUUUUCUGGAGCUACAGAAGCCCAAUUGGCGCGUUCUCAAUUGCGUUGAAAAGUAGACAUCCUGGGCUUUUCAGCAAUGUAUAAUAGUCCAUACUUUGCCCGAGAUUUGAUGGCCCAAAUAGGCGUUCUAAGUCAGCUCAAGAAUUCUGGCGUAAAACGCCGGAACUGGCACAAGAAUGGGAGUUAAACGCCCAAACUGGCACAAAAGCUGGCGUUUAACUCCAAGAAAAGUCUCUACACGAAAAUGCUUCAAUGCUCAGCCCAAGCACACACCAAGUGAGCCCGAAAGUGGAUAUUUAUGUCAUUUACUCAUCUUUGUAAACCCUAAGCUACUAGUUCUCUAUAAUUAGGACCUUUUGCUAUUGUAUUUUCAUCUGGGUAGCUAUCUUUGAGUAGUCUUAUGCUAUCUUAGAUCAUGGGA